rnacentral:lncRNA from 1 species
GGGGCACCUCACAGCAUGUACAUUUGAGGGGGUCACUCGUACAGAAGAGGAGCAGGAGUUGAAAGGAAUCAUGACGUUUUUGUAGAUGAGACACCCACCACAGAAAGCAUUUCUGACAUUUUAAUUAUCUGCUUAAUGUUAAAACACACUCACUUAAAACAUUUGAUAGUUAUCCCCAUCUAUAAAUAACGGUAGAGAUUACAUACAUUAUUCUACGUUUCCGAUCAAUAGAAUAUGGCAAAACUGAUGAGAUGUGUGUGAUUAUGUGUGAUUACGUGGUUAUGCGACUUAAGAUUUCAACAUCAAAUUUGCUGGGGUCUCUUUCUCUCUGGCUUUGAGGAUGCAAGUAUUCGGUUGUGGACCCCCCCCCUUCCCUUGUAAGGAACUGUGGGUGGCGUCUAGGAGCUAAGGGCAGCUUCUGACCAAUAGCCAGUAAAAUGUUGAAGCCCUCAGUUCUACAACUGCAGGAAACUGACCUCUGCCAGUAACUGCCCCAGUGGGGUCUUGAAUGGGACUGCAGCCUUCUAAGACCUGGAGCAGAGGACUCACUACCCUGAUGCCUGGACUCCUGACCCACAGAAAUCGUGAAAUAUCAAAUGUGUGUUGUCCAAAGCCACUAAGUUGGUGGAAAUAUUGUUACUUAGCAAAAGAUCGCUAGUACAGUUAUCUUUUAGAAUUUAUAUAGUUUUAUGUGCAUGUCUUUGAUCCAUUUCAACUUAAUUUUUUUAUAGAUAGAUCAUCUUUCUCUCUCCCCCUCCCUCUGUUUUUUUUUUUCCAUAUGACCGUCCAAUUAUGCAAGCACCAAUUGUUGAACAUAUUAUCCUUUUCCCAUUGAAAUGCUUUGGGAUUUUUGUCAAAAGAUGAUUGACUCUAUGAAUAUAAAUCUGUUUCUGACAGUAUAAAGUAUAAAGGAGCCUCGGUGUCCAUCGAAAGAUGAAUGGAUAAAGAAGCUGUGGUCUAUGUAUACAAUGGAAUAUUCCUCAGCCAUUAGAAAUGACAAAUACCCACCAUUUGCUUCAACGUGGAUGGAACUGGAGGAUAUUAUGCUGAGUGAAGCAAGUCAAUCGGAGAAGGACAAACGUAUGUUCUCAUUCAUUUGGGGAAUAUAAAUAAUAGUGAAAGGGAAUAUAAGGGAAGAGAGAAGAAAUGUGUGGGAAAUAUCAGAAAGGAAAACAGAACAUAAAGACUCCUAACUCUGGGAAACGAACUAGGGGUGGUGGAAGGGGAGGAGGACGGGGAGUGGGGUGAAUGGGUGAUGGGCACUGAGGGGGGCACUUGACGGGAUGAGCACUGGGUGUUAUUCUGUAAGUUGGCAAAUUGAACACCAAUAAAAAAUAAAUUUAUUAUAAUAAAUAAAUAAAUAAAUAAACAAAUAAAUAAAAAGGCUGUAGGCCAUGAGGCUGUUAUCUGAACAGCCUUCAAAAAAAUAACACUCUGUUUUUAAGAGCAGUUUUAGGUUUACAAAAAAAUGAGCAGAAAAUGUAGUUUUCUACAUUCUGCUCACCCCUUCUCACUUCCCCUAUUAUUAAUGCCUAUAAAAAAAUCUUAUUACCUACAUGUACAGUCUAAAAAACAGAUAUAAACCAAAAGAAGAUAAAGAUUAUCCAUAAUUCUCUUAUUCAGAUGGAACUAUUAAAAAAUAUUUCAACGUAUGGCACCUGGGUGGCUCAGUCGAUUAAAUGGUCCAACUCUUGGUUUUGGCUCAGGUUGUGAUCUUAGGGUCGUGAGAUCAAGCCCCGUACUCCCUGCUAAGUGUGGAGCUCGAACGUGGGCUCAAGUUCACGACCCACGAGAUCAUGACCUGAGCUGAAACCAAGAGUGGGACACUCCACAGGCUGAGCUGCCCAGGCGCCCCAACAUCCUCCCAUUUAGCACAUAUUGUUUUACCUUUUCAUUAUCAUGGUAUGGAUGGACCAUAAUUUGUUUAAACACUUUCCCAAACUGCCUUUGUCAUACAGCAAUAUGUUUUCAAGACCUUUCUGUAGCUCCCAUGUGGAUCUCCCUCAUUUCCCCCCAUUGCCUGGUACCCUGCUAUAGGAAUAUGCCGAGGUAUAUUUUUCCAUUGACAGUUUGUUCCCAAUUUUCCUCUAUCACAACAAUAACAUUUCUAGUACAUAUCCCCUUAUGAGUUUCUUUAAGGGACCCAUUCCCAUAUCUCCAAAGCAUCACUCUGGCGGUUGUGUUGUGAAUACACUGGGGUCAGUGAACAAGAAUGGAAGCAGGGAAAUCGGUUGAGAGACCGUUUCAGUCGCCCAGGGGAGUGGCAAGGGUGGUAGUGACAAGUGGUUGGAAUGGGGUACCUCUUGGAGGUAGAGGUAAUGUGAUUUGCUGAUGCUAAGGUGUAGUAUGUGAGAGGAAAUGAAGAGUCAGAGAGAUUCUCAAGUUUGGGGUCUACAUAAUUAAGAGGUUGAUGGUACUGUUCACUAAGAUACAGGACACUGGGGGAUGAGCAGCUUUAGGGAGAAGAUCAAUCAUCACAAAUUCUGGUUUGGAAAAUGAAGGUUCAACACCCAUCAGGUUUCCCGGUGGAGAUGUGGAGAAAUUGGGAGUCCAGGGAAAAGCUCAGGGCCGGAGAUCCCAGGAGUCACAAGUUUGAGGAUCGUAUUUAAAACUAUGAGACCCUGGACGCCUGGGUGGCUCAGCGGUUGAGCAUCUGCCUUUGGCUCAAGGCGUGAUCCUGGAGACCCAGGAUCGAGUCCUGCAUCGGGCUCCCUGCAUGGAGCCUGCUUCUCCCUCUGCCUGUGUCUCUGCCUCUCCCUCUGUGUGUUUCUCAUGAAUAA